rnacentral:rRNA from 1 species
GACGAACGCUGGCGGCGUGCUUAACACAUGCAAGUCGAACGAAGUGGCGAACGGGUGAGUAACGCGUAAUCAACCUGCCCUUCAGAGGGGGACAACAGUUGGAAACGACUGCUAAUACCGCAUACUGAAGGAGGGGAUUGUGUCGAUUUGGCUAGUUGGAGGGGUAACGCCCCACCAAGGCGAUGUUAAGAAGCCGGUCUGAGAGGAUGACAGGCCACAUUGUGACUGAGACACGGCCCAGACUCCUACGGGAGGAAGCAGUGGGGAUGCUUCCGCAAUGGACGAAAGUCUGACGGGGCAACGCCUCGAGCGUGAUGACGGCCUUCGGGUUGUAAAGCUCUGUUAAUCGGGACGCGGUACCGGAAUAGAAAGCCACGGCUAACUACGUGCCAGCAGCCGCGGUAAUUC